UUUCCGUAGGUGAACCUGCGGAAGGAUCAUUCAUAAUAAGUGUUUUAUGGCACUUUUUUAAAUCCAUAUCCCCCUUGUGUGCAAUGUCAGGGUUGAUUUUUCUCUCGAGAGGAUCAACCCCAAACAUCAACUAUAUCUCAUCUCUUUGUCUGAAAAAUAUUAUGAAUAAAACAAGUCAAAAUACAACUUUCAACAACGGAUCUCUUGGCUCUC
rnacentral:misc_RNA from 1 species